UACGGAGGAUGCGAGCGUUAUCCGGAUUUAUUGGGUUUAAAGGGUGCGUAGGCGGGAUGCCAAGUCAGCGGUAAUAAUGCGGUGCUCAACGCCGUCGAGCCAUUGAAACUGGCGUUCCUGAGUGGGCGAGAAGUAUGCGGAAUGCGUGGUGUAGCGGUGAAAUGCAUAGAUAUCACGCAGAACUCCGAUUGCGAAGGCAGCAUACCGGCGCCCUACUGACGCUGAGGCACGAAAGCGUGGGUAUCGAACAGG
rnacentral:rRNA from 1 species